AUAAAGUUCCUUUGGUUAAGAAGUACUACUUGUCAUCAAAAUGGAUAAGAGGAGAUGUAUCUAGACGUAUUUUAGUUCUAGAUACGUCCCUUUUUAUCCAUUUUGAUGACAAGUAUUUUCGGACGGAGGGAGCGUAUA
rnacentral:pre_miRNA from 1 species